rnacentral:rRNA from 1 species
CCUACGGGAGGCAGCAGUGGGGGAUAUUGCACAAUGGGGGGAACCCUGAUGCAGCGACGCCGCGUGGGUGAAGAAGCGCCUCGGCGCGUAAAGCCCUGUCAGCAGGGAAGAAAAUGACGGUACCUGAAGAAGAAGCCCCGGCUAACUACGUGCCAGCAGCCGCGGUAAUACGUAGGGGGCAAGCGUUAUCCGGAUUUACUGGGUGUAAAGGGGGCGCAGACGGCAAUGCAAGCCAGGAGUGAAAGCCCGGGGCUCAACCCCGGGACUGCUCUUGGAACUGCGUGGCUGGAGUGCAGGAGGGGAAGGCGGAAUUCCAGGUGUAGCAGUGAAAUGCGUAGAUAUCAGGAGGAACACCGGUGGCGAAGGCGGCCUGCUGGACUGCAACUGACGUUGAGGCGCGAAAGCGUGGGGAGCAAACAGGAUUAGAUACCCCUGUAGUC